rnacentral:rRNA from 1 species
GUGUCAGCAGCCGCGGUAAUACGGAGGGUCCGAGCGUUAAUCGGAAUUACUGGGCGUAAAGCGUGCGCAGGCGGUUUGUUAAGCGAGAUGUGAAAGCCCCGGGCUCAACCUGGGAAUUGCAUUCCGAACUGGCGAACUAAAGUCUUGUAGAGGGGGGUAGAAUUCCAGGUGUAGCGGUGAAAUGCGUAGAGAUCUGGAGGAAUACCGGUGGCGAAGGCGGCCCCCUGGACAAAGACUGACGCUCAGGCACGAAAGCGUGGGGAGCAAACAGGAUUAGAAACCCUCGUAGUCC